UGAUAUUUCGGGUAAUCGCUAUAGCAAUAUAGAGGAAAGUCCAUGCUCACACAAUCUGAGAUGAUUGUAGUGUUCGUGCUUGAUGAAACAAUAAAUCAAGGCAUUAAUUUGACGGCAAUGAAAUAACCUAAGUCAUUGGAUAUGGUUAGAAUAGUUUGAAAGUGCCACAGUGACGUAGCUUUUAUAGAAAUAUAAAAGGUGGAACGCGGUAAACCCCUCGAGUGAGCAAUCCAAAUUGGGUAGGAGCACUUGUUUAGCGGAAUUCAACGUAUAGACGAGACGAUUUUUACGCGAAAGUAAAAAUAUGUAGACAGAUGGUUACCACCGACGUACCAGUGUAACUAGUACACAUUAUGAGUACAACGGAACAGAACAUGGCUUACAGAAAUAUCAUCACUAGU
rnacentral:RNase_P_RNA from 1 species